rnacentral:tRNA from 1 species
GCCAGGUUGAUCUAGUGGUCAGGGCUCCUGACUCUAGAUCAAUAGGUCCCGGGUUCAAAUCCCGGUAGUGACC